CCUGGCUUAGGAUGAACGCUAGCGACAGGCUUAACACAUGUAAGUCGAGGGCAGCAUAAAAGUAGCAAUACUUGGUGGCGACCGGCGCACGGGUGAGUAACGCGUAUGCAACCUACCUAUCAGAGGGGAAUAACCCGGCGAAAGUCGGACUAAUACCGCAUAAAACAGGGGCACCGCAUGGUGAUAUUUGUUAAAGAAAUUCGCUGAUAGAUGGGCAUGCGUUCCAUUAGGUAGUUGGUGAGGUAACGGCUCACCAAGCCGACGAUGGAUAGGGGAACUGAGAGGUUGGUCCCCCACACUGGUACUGAGACACGGACCAGACUCCUACGGGAGGCAGCAGUGAGGAAUAUUGGUCAAUGGGCGGGAGCCUGAACCAGCCAAGUCGCGUGAAGGAAGAAGGAUCUAUGGUUCGUAAACUUCUUUUGCAGGGGAAUAAAGUGCAGGACGUGUCCUGUUUUGUAUGUACCCUGAGAAUAAGGAUCGGCUAACUCCGUGCCAGCCGCCGC
rnacentral:rRNA from 1 species